GUCAGAAAGGGGCGGAGGCGGACAUACGAACCGCCGGGAGACAAAGAGGCCCCGGCUCUCCCGGGGCAGCCCCGCUGCGAAAAGAACGGGCGAGGCGGCAACAGGAGGCGGCGGCGUCUCCUCGGCCCCGAGCACAGGGGAGAGAAACCUGCCGGACGGAGCUCCUUCGGGCUCUGUCUGUUCACAAUGAAUUUAUGGUGGAUCCGUCCGGCAGUCGGUGGCCCACGGUUGCUCGGCAACAGCAGAAGCGGAUUGAAGGGACCGGCCGCUGGAGGAUGCCGAAGCCUCCCGGGUCAGCGAUGGGAGCAGCUUUGCGUGAAGCGAGGGGUACGUGAAGCCGGGCAUGCGGUGCCGACCGCCCAGCAGGUAAGGGAAGCUAAAGCUUUACCUCCAGGGACUUCUGCCCAGAAAGCUGAAGCAAUUGCUCUCGCGUGAGCUGUAGAGUUACGCAAAGAGAAGAAGAUUAGUAGCUGCACUGCAGGUUUCUUGAAGGGUGCGGGCCCUUGAAGCCGUUUGAAAAGAAUAAAGUGUAUUAACGGCACAAGGGAGGCAGAUUAAACGUGAUGCUCCGGUUGCUGGAAGCUGUGCUGUUGCUAGGAGAGUUGCCGUCACGCGUUGCGACGGGCCUCAGAAGGGAAACGCUGCUCAGGAAACUGGCCAUAAAUUGGCAGGCUCCGCUGUCAAACCAGCCACCGAGAGGACCGAGACCGGUACGGAAGCCGCGUCUCUGAGCCCAGGUGGCCGUGUCCUCCAGCCAACGUCAGGGAACUGUAACAAAGAGGAUAAGCAAUUAAUAGGAGAUUAAUAGCCCGAUCAGAAUUAGGGUCCAAAGGAGCUGUCACCGGCGACGGGAGAGCAGCGGCGCCUCGCGGCGCGAGGAGCUGAUGCGCUCUGUCGAGAUCGGACGAACAGGUAAGAGCGAAUUUAGAAGCCCUGUGCGAGCGAGGCAAUGGGAAACGUGCCUAGAAAACCGUCUUGAUAGUGCACACGGGGUACAGACAAGAGCAGCCGGACGAGGGAAACGUACCAGGACGACGCUGGCAAAGGGAGUUCUCCGAGCUGCCUGGAAAAGGGGGGUGUCGAUACCGGCCGGCACGAACGGCUCCCUUCUCGGGUCGGCCGGAAGCGUUGCCGUGCCGGGGGGCGGCUGCCGGCCUGCGGGCCGGGGCUGCGGCUGUUUGGGGCGCUGCCCCCGCUUUGUUUUCCUCGGGGAGCCCCCCCACGUUCGGGGGCUUGUGGGACGUGCACGUGCGAAUGACACGGUGUUCCCAGCUGCUCUGUUCUCUGCCUUGUUUUUUCAGGUGCCUGUCCCUGUUUUCUCUUCCCGCUUUUGAAGAGAAGCUGCCGAGUUAGCGUACGCUGCGGUGAAGUUCUACAAGAUGCGGCCCUCAGGAACCGGUUGCUGUGGGGUUGCUCGUGCGGCCAGCUUUUGGUGUCGGUUGUUCCGGCGCUCCGUCGCGGUGUAGAGCCGGCCCCGUACGUAGCGGUGAGGCGUACCGCAGUUCGGUUUGAUUCUCGGAUAGGCCUCGGCUCUGACUGUGCACUCGAACGCCAAAACCUACAGCGGAAGCUGCGGUGGCUUUAGCGUGCAAGGGGCGCGAGCGCCGUGAAGCCGCCCGUGUGGCCGAGCGUCCCGAUCGCGGCGCUGAGCGUUAGGCGGACUUGAGCCGCGUGCCGGAAUUGUUUUGUUUUGGAGAGGGCGGGAUAAACUUGGAGCACAACUUGUGAGGGCGGUACGUCGUGGGCAGGUUUUAGUAUUGCCUGUGGAGUGCCGCUAGAAGCGUUCGUAGUUCUUGCUUGUCUCUGUUACAAGAUGAGCCGUGUCGUCCUGCGUGACGCGUAACGGGAGGACGGCGCGGUAGCGGUGCUCUGCACAAGAGCCCGUUGGGGGGUAUUUUAGCUCGCGGGAAAGGGAUUGGGGAACCACCUGGUGGGAAUGCGAGGAGAGCAGCCCUGGCGGAAUCUGAGGAGCCGAGGCCGUUGUAUAAAUUGGACAAGGAAGGAAAGGCUGCGGGCAAAGCGCGGUACUGCACCCGGCCGCCCCAACGCGGUGCCGCGGCGCGCCUCGGUGCUGCCGCCCUGUGGCGAAACCCGGGUACUGCAGCGCACGGCAAGGGGGGGGGGCAGAUGCCGCGAUUGAGAGACGGGGACGCAACUUGAUGCAAGCAAAGUGUCCACUUUAUUGCUCUUCACACAAUUCUUUUAUACUGUUACAUGCAUAACAACUACUAUCGUGGAUUAUGCUGAUUGGCACAACAAUUAAUUAUCUCAUACAUAUUACAAAGGCUGAGCUCAUGAUAGGUUAGUAAGAGCAUGCAAAUCUGUCCUAGCUCCUUGUUACUAUCGUGUCCUGUGUGCUGGGCAAGCUUUACAGGCUGCUUUCUCACAGCCACAAGGUCCUGUUGCUAAACAGGACAUUCCCAUCUAUCAUCACAAGUUUCUGCUCUUUGUGCUUACAUCUGCAUGUUGUAACUUUUCACGGCCCUUAGUAAUUUUCCAUGCUAACACAACAGGUCUAGUAGCUAGAACUAGCAUAUUAACUAUAGAUAUAUAUUUUUGCUAAUAUCCUAUAAGCCUAGAUAACCCACAGGCAGAGACGCCGAUCGAGCCGCGGGGGUUCGCGGUCGGGUCUGUGCGUGCCGGUGUCCGUCCCCCCCGACGGGGGUCAGGUCCCCAUUGGUGUGCAAACGACACCCCUCCCUCGAUGGCUCCUUAGGAGGGUUAAUCCCAGUCCUCGUUCUUUUGGCAGCGGCGGGUCUGUGACCUCGCGGGAAGCCCAGGCUGCUGCACAGAGCUCGUCGGGAGCGGGAGCCGCGGAGGCGGGGGGCCUCGACGAGCCAGAGCUGCGUCAGACGGAGGGGGGCGCGCGCGCUGCCCGGGGGCCGCGUCCGGCGGAGCCGAAGUGACCUGCGGCGGCAACGAGCGGGAGCCGCUCGGAGCUGGAGCGGCCGUUGGCCGCGCCUUCCCUGGGGAGGUGAGCGCGGGGAGCCCGGCCUCUCUCUCCCUCGGGGAUUAAACCCGCGCCCGUCCGCGCCCUUCCCGGGGGCGGCGGCGAGGCGGGUUCCCCCGGCUCUCCCGGGGCGGCCCCGCUGCCGGGGGGCGCGGGCGAGGCGGCGGCAGCGCCUCCUCGGUGCCGGGGGGCGGAGGGGAGAGAGACCUGCCGGCCGGAGCCGCGGGGCGCGCGGCCCCUCGGGCAGGGCGCUCCCGGUCUCUGGGCCGCAGGCCGGGGGCGGCAGACGGGUUCGGGUGCUCUGGCGUGCUUUUUAGCCAGCGUGGCCUUCUCCGCGCCGUGAAGAAAAUCCCGCGCGGUCGAUUCCGCUCGCCGCUCGGGAGAUGCCGCGUCUCUGGGGCCGUGGACUGGGGAAGAACGUUUGCGAGUUGGAGGGCGCUACAAGAUAUUCCGCGGGGAAGCCGGAGAAGAGGCAAAUUGGCUGCCAGCGGAGUUGCGUUCCUUCGGUUUAGGACGUUCAGCUUGUCCUUCCAGAGAAGGAGCAGUCGUGGGUAGGGCCGAGAGAGGCUUUUAGGCGCGUGAUCGGAAUUGGAGCCAAAUGGCACUCGACGUUGCCGCCGUGGGUCUUGGCUUUCAGUGGUUUCCCCGCGGCUGCCUGGUGUUUGGGAGCUCGGAGCGGGCGUUUUUUUUUUCCCCCAAGGAGAGGCUGUGCUUGAAACAGAACUUGCUUGAAGAAGACGGACGAGGCGGGUGAGGAUGCAGAGCGGGCCAAUCAGAUCGCUCGGGAGGGCUGGAGGGGCGGAGCGCCGAUAGGCGGGGAGCAUGGCAAUUGAUGUGCGUAGGCAGCCAAUGAGGUUGCCGGGGGGGCGGGCGUUGCGGUGUCCGUACUGCGCAUGCCCAACUUGCGCAGUCCUCAGUCAGGUCCGACGCUGAGGCGGGCACCUGGGGGCGGAGCGCGGGAAGGAGCAUCCAAUAGGAGGACGGCGCGGCGGGGUGGAAAGCAGCCAAUCAGAGCGCGCCGUCUCAAUCCCGUUUGAACAGCUGCCUCCCUGGCAAACGCGUCCGUGGGGUCCCGGGGCGGGUAGCGGGAGUUAACGGGGAAACGGGGGUCGGGGCGAGGGAGGGGAGGCUGUGGAGCGCUCAUUUUGGCCUCUCCGUCCCUUUUGCCUCUCUCUCCCUCUCUCUGUGUCUCCUUGUCUUGCUCCCUGUCCCUGUCUUUCUCUGGUAAGCUGACCUGCUCUUUGCCCUUCUUUUUUUGUGGAAUCACAGGCUCCUUCUGCUUGGAAAAGACACGUGCAGUUUUAAAUUUGGGUUUGAACUCUAGGGUUUUUUUUCCCCCAUUAGCGUAAGUGGACGGCACGUUGUCCUGUGGCUCAAUCCCCGUUCUGUUCCGUGGAGCCUUCAGUUUAGGAUGUUCAGGUAAGACAGUUUGUCCUUCCAGAACAGGAGCAGUCACCGGUAGGACCGAGAGAGGCUUUUAAGCGCGUGAUCGGAACUGAAGCCAAAUGGCACUCGACGUUGCCGCUGUGGGUCUUGGCUUUCACUGGUUUCCCCGCGGCUCCCUGGUGUUGGGGAGCUCGGAGCGGGCACGUUUUUUUCCCCGAGGGGAGGCUGUGCUUAAAAAAGAACGUGUUUCCUCAGAGAAGUGCAAGUCCGCGUGCGUAAGACAGACAAAAACCCCAGCCAGCCUAGUCAAGUUCUGAGCGUGCGUCUGUCAGGCGGCUGCUUUACGUUGAGGAGCGCACGGCCGUGCAAUGGUAAGGGCGAAGGGCAAGGCAAGACAGAAGGGUUUUUCCUGCUGCGGGUGACCAGCCGCCCCCCUUUUCCGCGUGAAGCAGAGGAGCGCGGUUCGUUGUCGCCUUUUAAACGCGGCGGCGGCGGCGGCAAGCCGAGCGGCCGGAGGGCGCGGGGUCGGGGGGGGGGGGUCCCGGCAGGGCGGCGAGCCGGCGGGUGAGGAUGCAGAGCGGGCCAAUCAGAUGGCGCGGGAGGGCUGGAGGGCUGGAGGAGCGGAGCGCUGGUUGGCUGCCUAGGCACGUCAGUUGCCUUUCUGUCUGCCAAUCAGAUUGCCGGGGGGGCGGGCGUCGAGGGCUGGGUACUGCGCAUGCCCCAAAGAGCGAGCGCUGAUAGGCGGAGAGAUGCUGAUUGGCGUGCCGCCCGCAGCCAAUGAUGUUGCCGAAGGGGCGGGCGUUGCGGCGUCCCUAGUGCGCAUGCCCCAGCCGCGAUCGCUGAUAGGCGGCGAGAGAGGUGAUUGACGUGUCCCGGGGAGCCAACCGGGAUGCGGCAAGGGGCGGGUGCUGCGGUCUCCCUAGUGCGCAUGCCCAAACCGCGAGCGCUGAUAGGCGGCGAGAGAGGUGAUUGACGUGUCCCGGGGAGCCAACCGGGAUGCGGCAAGGGGCGGGCGCUGCGGUCUCCCUAGUGCGCAUGCCCAAACCGCGAGCGCUGAUAGGCGGCGAGAGAGGUGAUUGACGUGUCCCAAGGAGCCAACCGGGAAGCGGCAAGGGGCGGGAGCUGCGGUCUCCCUACUGCGCAUGCCCCAGCCGCGAUCGCUGAUAGGCGGCGAGAGGGCUGAUUGACGUGUCCCGGGGAGCCAACCGGGAUGCGGCAAGGGGCGGGAGCUGCGGUCUCCCUACUGCGCAUGCCCCAGCCGCGAUCGCUGAUAGGCGGCGAGAGGGCUGAUUGACGUGUCCCGGGGAGCCAACCGGGAUGCGGCAAGGGGCGGGUGCUGCGGUCUCCCUACUGCGCAUGCCCAAACCGCUAGCGCUGAUAGGUCCGCGGUGUCUCGGUGCCGCGCCGUGGGGGGAGACCGGGAGCGAACGGGAACGGGGGUCGGGGCGGCUGCGGAGCGCUCGCUGCGGCCGGCGCCCGGGUAUCGGGAGGCGGGCGGCUCAGGGCCGCCCUUCGUGAGGUUUCCCGGAGGCGGCAGAAGGGCGGAGGGGAAGGAGGGGACAGCCGGGGACCUCCCGCCGCGCGCGUGUCCGGGGCGCGGCGGCUGUCGGUGCCCGCGGAGCCCGGCGGGACGGCGGGGGAGCGCGAGGGGAACGGAGCGGCGAAAGAGGCGGCAGGUGAGUGCGGCAGCGGCGAGGGUGACCGUGCCGUUGGAACGGGGGGAGCGGGAGGGGGCGGCGCGGCGCGGCGCGGAGGCGUUCGGUUCCGGUUUCCCCCGCCCCCCCCCGCCCUUACGGCCGCGCUGGCGAAGCUGCUGGGAGGCGUGCGGUCCGGAGCCGCGUCUCCCUCCGGCGCAGCGCCCGUGCCCGGUGCGGCAGCCCCUCCGGGAGCGGCGCAGCCCCCGUCGGUCGCGGGGACGGUUACAAGCAGAGCUAAGGCGCGGUUGCGGGCGGGCUGGGUGGCGUGGCGAGCGGGGCGCCGCUCCGGCGGGAGCUCGGGGCGAGCCCCGGCGGGUUCCGUGUCCUGCGGGCGCGGCUUUCGCGCCGCGGCUCUCUCUGUGCGCUUUUUUGUUUGGUCGCGUUUGUUUUUUGGGGUUUUUUUGGCGGGAUUCCCGCGAAACGCGGCACGAGCGCUCGCCCGGGGCUGCCGCGGCGGGUCUCAGUGGCGCCGUCCUGUGGGCAAAGCGCGGUACUGCACCCGGCCGCCCCAACGCGGUGCCGCGGCGCGCCUCGGUGCUGCCGCCCUGUGGCGAAACUCGGGUACUGCAGCGCACGGCAAGGGGGGGGGCAGAGACGCCGAUCGAGCCGCGGGGGUUCGCGGUCGGGUCUGUGCGUGCCGGUGUCCGUCCCCCCCCGACGGGGGUCAGGUCCCCAUUGGUGUGCAAACGACAUCCCUCCCUCGGGGCCUCCUUAAACGUUUAAUGACGUAAAUAUUGCUCCUGCUAACGUUGUCGGCGCGGCUUCUUUUCUCAGUGGAUCCGUCCAGCAGUCGGUGGCCCGCGGUUGCUCGGCAACAGCAGAAGCGGAUUGAAGGGACCGGCCGCUGGAGGAUGCCGAAGCCUCCCGGGUCAGCGAUGGGAGCAGCUUUGCGUAAAGCGAGGGGUACGUGAAGCCGGGCGUGCGGUGCCGACCGCCCAGCAGGUAAGGGAAGCUAAAGCUUUACCUCCAGGGACUUCUGCCCAGAAAGCUGAAGCAAUUGCUCUCGCGUGAGCUGUAGAGUUACGCAAAGAGAAGAAGAUUAGUAGCUGCACUGCAGGUUUCUUGAAGGGUGCGGGCCCUUGAAGCCGUUUGAAAAGAAUAAAGUGUAUUAACGGCACAAGGGAGGCAGAUUAAACGUGAUGCUCCGGUUGCUGGAAGCUGUGCUGUUGCUAGGAGAGUUGCCGUCACGCGUUGCAACGGGCCUCAGAAGGGAAACGCUGCUCAGGAAACUGGCCAUAAAUUGGCAGGCGCCGCUGUCAAACCAGCCGCCGAGAGGACCGAGACCGGUACGGAAGCCGCGUCUCUGAGCCCAGGUGGCCGUGUCCUCCAGCCAACGUCAGGGAACUGUAACAAAGAGGAUAAGCAAUUAAUAGGAGAUUAAUAGCCCGAUCAGAAUUAGGGUCCAAAGGAGCCGUCACCGGCGACGGGAGAGCAGCGGCGCCUCGCGGCGCGAGGAGCUGAUGCGCUCUGUCGAGAUCGGACGAACAGGUAAGAGCGAAUUUAGAAGCUCUGUGCGAGCGAGGCAAUGGGAAACGUGCCUAGAAAACCGUCUUGAUAGUGCACACGGGGUACAGACAAGAGCAGCCGGACGAGGGAAACGUACCAGGACGACGCUGGCAAAGGGAGUUCUCCGAGCUGCCUGGAAAAGGGGGGUGUCGAUACCGGCCGGCACGAACGGCUCCCUUCUCGGGUCGGCCGGAAGCGUUGCCGUGCCGGGGGGCGGCUGCCGGCCUGCGGGCCGGGGCUGCGGCUGUUUGGGGCGCCGCCCCCGCUUUGUUUUCCUCGGGGAGCCCCCCCACGCUCGGGGGCUUGUGGGACGUGCACGUGCGAAUGACACGGUGUUCCCAGCUGCUCUGUUCUCUGCCUUGUUUUUUCAGGUGCCUGUCCCUGUUUUCUCUUCCCGCUUUUGAAGAGAAGCUGCCGAGUCAGCGUACGCUGCGGUGAAGUUCUACAAGAUGCAGCCCUCAGGAACCGGUUGACGUGAGGGAAAUGCUUUCUGACCGCCUGCGCGGUGAGGGGACGUUUUUCACCUUUUAGCUCCUUCUGCACGACAAGAGGGAGACGGAAGGUUAAGUAACACGUUGUUUAGGAGCUGAGAGCUUGGUUUGCAUUUAACUAAUAAUUAAGAGACGUGUUGUCAGCGAGAAACUAAACGAUUACAACUAACCUCAUCAAAUGAAGUAAAGACAGGCCAGCCAGGCGUGGUGGUGGAGUUGCUCUCUAUGUGAGAGAGCAGCUACAGUGUACUAAAUUCUGCCCAGGAGCGGAUGAGGAGCGAGUUGAGAGUGUAUGGGUCAGGAUCAAGGGGCAGGCUGGCAGGGGUGACACUGCUGUGGGCGUCUGUUGCAAGCCACCAGAUCAGGCCGAGGAAGCUGAUGAGGCCUUCUAUGGGCAGCUGAGAGCGGCCUCACGGUCACAGGCCCUGGUUGUUGUGGGGGAUUUUAAGUUCCCUGGUGUUUGCUGGAAGGACCGUUCAGCCAGCCAGCCACAGUCCAGGAGGUUCCUGCCGUGCAUCGGUGAGAACCGCCUCAUGCAGGUGGUGGAGGAGCCGACUGGGAGAGGUGCACUGCUGGAUCUCAUCCUCGCUAGCAAGGAGGGUCUGGUCGAAGCAGGAAAGGUUGAGGGCUGCCUGGGCUGCAGUGACCACGAGAAGGUGGAGUUCAGCAUCUUGGGUGGCAGGAACAGAACAGCAAGUAGAAUUGCAGCCCUGGACUUUAGCAGGGCUAACUUUGGCCUUUUCAAGCAAUUGCUGGGGGAAAUCCCACGGGCAAGACUGCUUGAAGGAAAAGGGGCCCGAGAUAGCUGGGUUGCAUUCAGAGAUUGCUUCUUCCACGCUCAGGAUCAGAGCAUCCCCACACGAAGGGAGUCAAGGAAGGGAGCCAGGAGGCCUGCGUGGUUGAACAGGGACCUGUUGGGUGUGCUCAAGCAGAAGAGGAGAGUUUGCAGGUCAUGGAGGCAGGGGCUGGCCACUUGGGAGGAAUAUAGGGCUGCUGUUAGAGGAUGCAGGAAGGCAGCUAGGAUAGCCAAGGCCCCCUAGAAUUACAGCUGGCGAGAGGGGUCAAGGACAGCAAAAAGAGCUUUUUCAAAUACAUAGCAGAUAAAACUAACACCAGAGGCAAUGUAGGCCCACUGAUGAACGGGGUGGGUGCCCUGGUGGCAGAAGAUACAGAGGAGGCAGAAUUCCUGAAUGCCUUCUUUGUCUCUGUCUACUCUGCCGGAGGCCGUCCUGGGGAGCCCUGUACCCCUGAGACCCCGGAUGAAGCCAGGUCAGUGGAGGAGUUUGCUUUAGUCGAUGAGGACUGGGUUAGGGAGCAAUUAAAUAGUCUGGACAUCCAUAAAUCCACGGGUCCGGAGGGGAUGCACCCGCGGGUGCUGAGGGAGCCGGCUGAAGUCACUGCUGGACCGCUCUCUGUCAUCUUUGCCAAGUCUUGGGAAACGGGGGAGGUGCCCGAGGACUGGAGGAAAGCAAAUGUCACUGCAGUCUUCAAAAAGGGCAAGAAGGAGGACCCGGGUAAUUACAGACCGGUCAGCCUCUCCUCUGUCCCUGGGAAAGUAAUGGAACAGCUUCGUCUGGACAACAGAGCAGUGAGGUGGGUUGCAAACUGGCUUAAGGAGAGAAGCCAGAGAGCGGUAGUCAAUGGUGCGGAGUCCAGCUGGAGGCCAGUAUCCAGUGCAGUGCCUCAGGGGGCAGCGCUGGGGCCAAUGUUGUUCAAUAUAUUCAUUAACGAUUUGGACGAGGGAAUAGAGUGCACUAUCGGCAAGUUUGCUGAUGACACCAAGCUGGGAGGGGUGGCUGACACGCCAGAAGGCUGUGCUGCCAUCCAGCGGGACCUGGACAGGCUGGAGAGUUGGGCGGGGAAUAACCUGAUGAAAUUUGACAAGGACAAGUGUAGAGUCCUGCACCUGGGCAGGAACAACCCCAGGUUCCAGUAUAGGUUGGGAAAUUACAUGUUAGAGAGCAGUGUAGGGGAAAGGGACCUGGGGGUCCUGGUGGACAGCAGGAUGACCAUGAGCCAGCCCUGUGCCCUUGUGGCCAGGAAGGCCAAUGGCAUCCUGGGGUGUAUUAGAAGGGGGGUGGUUAGUAGGUGGAGAGAGGUCCUCCUUCCCCUCUGCUCCGCCCUGGUGAGACCGCAUCUGGAAUAUUGUGUCCAGUUGUGGGCCCCUCAGUUCCAGAAGGACAGGGAACUGCUGGAGAGGGUCCAGCGUAGGGCAACCAAGAUGAUUAAGGGAGUGGAGCAUCUCCCGUGUGAGGAAAGGCUGAGGGAGCUGGGGCUCUUUAGUUUGGAGAAGAGGAGACUAAGGGGGGACCUUAUCAAUGUUUAUAAAUACAUAAAGGGUGAGUGCCAUGAGGAUGGAGCCAGGCUCUUCUCGGUGGCAAACAACGAUAGGACAAGGGGUAAUGGGAUCAAGCUGGAACACAAGAGGUUCCGCUUAAAUUUGAGAAGAAACUUCUUCUCAGUGAGGGUGGCAGAGCCUGGCCCAGGCUGCCCAGGGAGGUUGCGGAGCCUCCUUCUCUGCAGACAUUCAAAACCCGCCUGGACGUGCUCCUGUGCGACCUCACCUGGGCGUUCCUGCUCCAUGGGGGGAUUGGACUGGAUGAUCUUUUGAGGUCCCUUCCCGUCCCAAACAUACUGUGAUACUGUGAAGAAUGCGGCUUAGCAGCGCUGCUGACUCUGCCGUCCCGUUCCCUUCCCCGUUUCAGCCGGCGAGGCGGCCGGAGGACCCGCUCUGUGCGGCCGCGGGGCCCGCGGAGUCGAGGGCUCUGUCGGCGCGCCCCGGGGGUUUCUCUGGAGAGACUCCUCGUCUCGGUCGCGUCGCGGCGGGGACGGACGAGGACCUCUGGCGAGGGGUCUUUCUGCGCUGGGAGCCGGGACCGGGCACGCGCUCGCGGGGCGUCCGUAAGUCGCGGUACGGAAUUUAGGCAGGAUAGCGCGCACGGGCUUGCGAGCGCCUUACAGGCGUGCGGUGGUUGCUCGUGCGGCCAGCUUUUGGUGUCGGUUGUUCCGGCGCUCCGUCGCGGUGUAGAGCCGGCCCCGUACGUAGCGGUGAGGCGUACCGCAGUUCGGUUUGAUUCUCGGAUAGGCCUCGGCUCUGACUGUGCACUCGAACGCCAAAACCUACAGCGGAAGCUGCGGUGGCUUUAGCGUGCAAGGGGCGCGAGCGCCGUGAAGCCGCCCGUGUGGCCGAGCGUCCCGAUCGCGGCGCUGAGCGUUAGACGGACUUGAGCCGCGUGCCGGAAUUGUUUUGUUUUGGAGAGGGCGGGAUAAACCUGGAGCACAACUUGUGAGGGCGGUACGUCGUGGGCAGGUUUUAGUAUUGCCUGUGGAGUGCCGCUAGAAGCGUUCGUAGUUCUUGCUUGUCUCUGUUACAAGAUGAGCCGUGUCGUCCUGCGUGACGCGUAACGGGAGGACGGCGCGGUAGCGGUGCUCUGCACAAGAGCCCGUUGGGGGGUAUUUUAGCUCGCGGGAAAGGGAUUGGGAACCACCUGGUGGGAAUGCGAGGAGAGCAGCCCUGGCGGAAUCUGAGGAGCCGAGGCCGUUGUAUAAAUUGGACAAGGAAGGAAAGGCUGCGGGCAAAGCGCGGUGCUGCACCCGGCCGCCCCAACGCGGAACUCUAAUGUGGAAUUCCUGUGUUUCAGAGGGGGAGCUGUGACCGCCCCGUGCUCAGCAGACCCCCCAGCCCGGGUGGGGGGAGCAGCGCCGGAGCGGGAGACGCGGCUCCGUCCUCCGUCCCCAGCGUGCCGGGGGGCGGCUGCCGGCCUGUGGGACGUGGCUGCGGCUGUUCGGGGCGCUGCCCCCCCAUUUUUGGGCGCUCUGAGCAGCCCGAUGUGCUGUUAAAGGUUGUGGUGGUGCGGGUCAGGGAUCCCCAGGCUGUGCCGAGACCGCAGGACGGCUGCUGGUGGAACAAAGUCCGGGACAGCUUCUCAGAGUAAGAACCUCUCUAUUUGUUCUCCUCGGGACACAUCCCUUUGCCUCUGGACCCCGCACAAGCUCACUCGCCACCUUGUUCCCUCAGAAACCCGUUUCCUCCCAGUUCCUCUGCGAUUACCCUGCCUGCCUUUGGGUCCCUGCAGGCUCGUUGGUGGCAUCACGGUGCCUGUUUGACCUUUUGCCCCGUUAAAUUCCCCUCUUUUCUCUCUUCCCCUCAAAACUUCCCCGGUUGCUCUUGUCACACCCCAGAGGCCUCAUUUUCCCCUCUUGUCUCCUCUCAGGACCCCCCAUCUGUUGGCCCCUGUCGAGGGUUUAGAUUGCGGGGUGACAGUAAAACCCUGGCAGAUGUAUUGUUAACCCCGUCUCCCCCCCACUUCCCCCUUUUGCCCCUCCCUCUCCCCGCUUCCCACUCAGGACAGGCGAUCCGGAGGGAAAGAAGGACAGAGAGAAGAGAGUUGGAAAAACUGGCAAUGUUUUACUAAUGCUAUAUUAAGAGUAGAGAAAAUAAUACAAAACCAAUCCUGAAAGUCUCAGCAACUGCAGAGCCGGCACCUGAAGUCCUGGACUGGACUCUGCAGCCAACCGGAGCUGGAUUCAGUCUCUCAGCAGGCCUCAGUUUGCAGGGACGACUAGCAAGGUCCUCUCCUAAUGUCACCAUAAGCAGAAGGGACGAAAAGGGGCAAAGAGGACAAGAUCCUCAUGAUCUGCCACUUGUAUAUGAAGUAUUCAUGUGAAGGGGAUGUUAUACACGGUUGGUCAGUUUGUUGGUCACCUGUUUCUUGUUGCUCCUCUUGCAAGAUGUGAAUCUGUCCUUAUCAACAAGUAAGCAUUCCAUUGCAAUGUUUAUCAAAACAUGUAUGUGUCUGGUUCUCCAGGAAAAGGCAGCUAAUAUGAAGCUUUAGCUGACAGGCAAAUUCAUGCUGUCUGCCUAUCAGAUUGCCGGAGGGGCGGGCGUCGAGGGCUGGGUACUGCGUGCCGCCCGCAGCCAAUGAUGGUGCGGAAGAGGCGGGCGUUGCGGUGUCCCUACUGCGCAUGCCCCAGUCGCGAGCGCUGAUAGGCGGAGAGGGAGAUGAUUGACGUGUCCCGGGGAGCGAACCGGGAUGCGGCAAGGGGCGGGUGCUGCAGUCUCCCUAGUGCGCAUGCCCAAACCGCGAGCGCUGAUAGGUCCGCGGUGUCUCGGGGCCGGGGCCGGGGGGGGAGACCGGGAGCGAACGGGAACGGGGGUCGGGGCGGCUGCGGAGCCCUCGCUGCGGCCGGCGCCCGGGCAUCGGGAGGCGGGCGGCUCAGGGCCGCCCUUCGUGAGGUUUCCCGGAGGCGGCAGAAGGGCGGAGGGGAAGGAGGGGACAGCCGGGGACCUCCCGCUGCGCGCGUGUCCGGGGCGCGGCGGCUGUCGGUGCCCGCGGAGCCCGGCGGGACGGCGGGGGAGCGCGAGGGGCACGGAGCGGCGAAAGAGGCGGCAGGUGAGUGCGGCAGCGGCGAGGGUGACCGUGCCGUUGGAACGGGGGGAGCGGGAGGGGCCGGCGCGGCGCGGCGCGGAGGCGUUCGGUUCCGGUUCCCUCCCCCGCCCCCCCCGCCCUUACGGCCGCGCUGGCGAAGCUGCUGGGAGGCGUGCGGUCCGGAGCCGCGUCUCCCUCCGGCGCAGCGCCCGUGCCCGGUGCGGCAGCCCCUCCGGGAGCGGCGCAGCCCCCGUCGGUCGCGGGGACGGUUACAAGCAGAGCUAAGGCGCGGUUGCGGGCGGGCUGGGUGGCGUGGCGAGCGGGGCGCCGCUCCGGCGGGAGCUCGGGGCGAGCCCCGGCGGGUUCCGUGUCCUGCGGGCGCGGCUUUCGCGCCGCGGCUCUCUCUGUGCGCUUUUUUGUUUGGUCGCGUUUGUUUUUUGGUUUUUUUUUGGCGGGAUUCCCGCGAAACGCGGCACGAGCGCUCGCCCGGGGCUGCCGCGGCGGGUCUCAGUGGCGCCGUCCUGUGGGCAAAGCGCGGUACUGCACCCGGCCGCCCCAACGCGGUGCCGCGGCGCGCCUCGGUGCUGCCGCCCUGUGGCGAAACUCGGGUACUGCAGCGCCCGGCAAGGGGGGGGGGCAGAGACGCCGAUCGAGCCGCGGGGGUUCGCGGUCGGGUCUGUGCGUGCCGGUGUCCGCCCCCCCCCGACGGGGGUCAGGUCCCCAUUGGUGUGCAAACGACAUCCCUCCCUCGGGGCCUCCUUAAACGUUUAAUGACGUAAAUAUUGCUCCUGCUAACGUUGUCGGCGCGGCUUCUUUUCUCAGUGGAUCCGUCCGGCAGUCGGUGGCCCACGGUUGCUCGGCAACAGCAGAAGCGGAUUGAAGGGACCGGCCGCUGGAGGAUGCCGAAGCCUCCCGGGUCAGCGGUGGGAGCAGCUUUGCGUAAAGCGAGGGGUACGUGAAGCCGGGCGUGCGGUGCCGACCGCCCAGCAGGUAAGGGAAGCUAAAGCUUUACCUCCAGGGACUUCUGCCCAGAAAGCUGAAGCAAUUGCUCUCGCGUGAGCUGUAGAGUUACGCAAAGAGAAGAAGAUUAGUAGCUGCACUGAUUCUAAGCAGGUUUCUUGAAGGGUGCGGGCCCUUGAAGCCGUUUGAAAAGAAUAAAGUGUAUUAACGGCACAAGGGAGGCAGAUUAAACGUGAUGCUCCGGUUGCUGGAAGCUGUGCUGUUGCUAGGAGAGUUGCCGUCACGCGUUGCAACGGGCCUCAGAAGGGAAACGCUGCUCAGGAAACUGGCCAUAAAUUGGCAGGCGCCGCUGUCAAACCAGCCACCGAGAGGACAGAGACCGGUACGGAAGCCGCGUCUCUGAGCCCAGGUGGCCGUGUCCUCCAGCCAACGUCAGGGAACUGUAACAAAGAGGAUAAGCAAUUAAUAGGAGAUUAAUAGCCCGAUCAGAAUUAGGGUCCAAAGGAGCCGUCACCGGCGACGGGAGAGCAGCGGCGCCUCGCGGCGCAAGGAGCUGACGUGCUCUGUCGAGAUCGGACGAACAGGUAAGAGCGAAUUUAGAAGCCCUGUGCGAGCGAGGCAAUGGGAAACGUGCCUAGAAAACCGUCUUGAUAGUGCACACGGGGUACAGACAAGAGCAGCCGGACGAGGGAAACGUACCAGGACGACGCUGGCAAAGGGAGUUCUCCGAGCUGCCUGGAAAAGGGGGGUGUCGAUACCGGCCGGCACGAACGGCUCCCUUCUCGGGUCGGCCGGAAGCGUUGCCGUGCCGGGGGGCGGCUGCCGGCCUGCGGGCCGGGGCUGCGGCUGUUUGGGGCGCCGCCCCCGCUUUGUUUUCCUCGGGGAGCCCCCCCACGCUCGGGGGCUUGUGGGACGUGCACGUGCGAAUGACACGGUGUUCCCAGCUGCUCUGUUCUCUGCCUUGUUUUUUCAGGUGCCUGUCCCUGUUUUCUCUUCCCGCUUUUGAAGAGAAGCUGCCGAGUCAGCGUACGCUGCGGUGAAGUUCUACAAGAUGCGGCCCUCAGGAACCGGUUGACGUGAGGGAAAUGCUUUCUGACCGCCUGCGCGGUGAGGGGACGUUUUUCACCUUUUAGCUCCUUCUGCACGACAAGAGGGAGACGGAAGGUUAAGUAACACGUUGUUUAGGAGCUGAGAGCUUGGUUUGCAUUUAACUAAUAAUUAAGAGACGUGUUGUCAGCGAGAAACUAAACGAUUACAACUAACCUCAUCAAAUGAAGUAAAGACAGGCCAGCCAGGCGUGGUGGUGGAGUUGCUCUCUAUGUGAGAGAGCAGCUACAGUGUACUAAAUUCUGCCCAGGAGCGGAUGAGGAGCGAGUUGAGAGUGUACGGGUCAGGAUCAAGGGGCAGGCUGGCAGGGGUGACACUGCUGUGGGCGUCUGUUGCAGGCCACCAGAUCAGGCUGAGGAAGCUGAUGAGGCCUUCUAUGGGCAGCUGAGAGCGGCCUCACGGUCACAGGCCCUGGUUGUUGUGGGGGAUUUUAAGUUCCCUGCUGUUUGCUGGAAGGACCGUUCAGCCAGCCAGCCACAGUCCAGGAGGUUCCUGCCGUGCAUCGGUGAGAACCGCCUCAUGCAGGUGGUGGAGGAGCCGACUGGGAGAGGUGCACUGCUGGAUCUCAUCCUCGCUAGCAAGGAGGGUCUGGUCGAAGCAGGAAAGGUUGAGGGCUGCCUGGGCUGCAGUGACCACGAGAAGGUGGAGUUCAGCAUCUUGGGUGGCAGGAACAGAACAGCAAGUAGAAUUGCAGCCCUGGACUUUAGCAGGGCUAACUUUGGCCUUUUCAAGCAAUUGCUGGGGGAAAUCCCACGGGCAAGACUGCUUGAAGGAAAAGGGGCCCGAGAUAGCUGGGUUGCAUUCAGAGAUUGCUUCUUCCACGCUCAGGAUCAGAGCAUCCCCACACGAAGGGAGUCAAGGAAGGGAGCCAGGAGGCCUGCGUGGUUGAACAGGGAUCUGUUGGGUAUGCUCAAGCAGAAGAGGAGAGUUUGCAGGUCAUGGAGGCAGGGGCUGGCCACUUGGGAGGAAUAUAGGGCUGCUGUUAGAGGAUGCAGGAAGGCAGCUAGGAUAGCCAAGGCCCCCUAGAAUUACAGCUGGCGAGAGGGGUCAAGGACAGCAAAAAGAGCUUUUUCAAAUCCAUAGCAGAUAAAACUAACACCAGAGGCAAUGUAGGCCCACUGAUGAACGGGGUGGGUGCCCUGGUGGCAGAAGAUACAGAGGAGGCAGAAUUCCUGAAUGCCUUCUUUGUCUCUGUCUACUCUGCCGGAGGCCGUCCUGGGGAGCCCUGUACCCCUGAGACCCCGGAUGAAGCCCGGUCAGUGGAGGAGUUUGCUUUAGUCGAUGAGGACUGGGUUAGGGAGCAAUUAAAUAGUCUGGACAUCCAUAAAUCCACGGGUCCGGAGGGGAUGCACCCGCGGGUGCUGAGGGAGCCGGCUGAAGUCACUGCUGGACCGCUCUCUGUCAUCUUUGCCAAGUCUUGGGAAACGGGGGAGGUGCCCGAGGACUGGAGGAAAGCAAAUGUCACUGCAGUCUUCAAAAAGGGCAAGAAGGAGGACCCGGGUAAUUACAGACCGGUCAGCCUCUCCUCUGUCCCUGGGAAAGUAAUGGAACAGCUUCGUCUGGACAACAGAGCAGUGAGGUGGGUUGCAAACUGGCUUAAGGAGAGAAGCCAGAGAGCGGUAGCCAAUGGUGCGGAGUCCAGCUGGAGGCCAGUAUCCAGUGCAGUGCCUCAGGGGUCAGCGCUGGGGCCAAUAUUAUUCAAUAUAUUCAUUAACGAUUUGGACGAGGGAAUAGAGUGCACUAUCGGCAAGUUUGCUGAUGACACCAAGCUGGGAGGGGUGGCUGACACGCCAGAAGGCUGUGCUGCCAUCCAGCGGGACCUGGACAGGCUGGAGAGUUGGGCGGGGAAUAACCUGAUGAAAUUUGACAAGGACAAGUGUAGAGUCCUGCACCUGGGCAGGAACAACCCCAGGUUCCAGUAUAGGUUGGGAAAUUACAUGUUAGAGAGCAGUGUAGGGGAAAGGGACCUGGGGGUCCUGGUGGACAGCAGGAUGACCAUGAGCCAGCCCUGUGCCCUUGUGGCCAGGAAGGCCAAUGGCAUCCUGGGGUGUAUUAGAAGGGGGGUGGUUAGUAGGUGGAGAGAGGUCCUCCUUCCCCUCUGCUCCGCCCUGGUGAGACCGCAUCUGGAAUAUUGUGUCCAGUUGUGGGCCCCUCAGUUCCAGAAGGACAGGGAACUGCUGGAGAGGGUCCAGCGUAGGGCAACCAAGAUGAUUAAGGGAGUGGAGCAUCUCCCGUGUGAGGAAAGGCUGAGGGAGCUGGGGCUCUUUAGUUUGGAGAAGAGGAGACUAAGGGGGGACCUUAUCAAUGUUUAUAAAUACAUAAAGGGUGAGUGCCAUGAGGAUGGAGCCAGGCUCUUCUCGGUGGCAAACAACGAUAGGACAAGGGGUAAUGGGAUCAAGCUGGAACACAAGAGGUUCCGCUUAAAUUUGAGAAGAAACUUCUUCUCAGUGAGGGUGGCAGAGCCUGGCCCAGGCUGCCCAGGGAGGUUGCGGAGCCUCCUUCUCUGCAGACAUUCAAAACCCGCCUGGACGUGCUCCUGUGCGACCUCACCUGGGCGUUCCUGCUCCAUGGGGGGAUUGGACUGGAUGAUCUUUUGAGGUCCCUUCCCGUCCCAAACAUACUGUGAUACUGUGAAGAAUGCGGCUUAGCAGCGCUGCUGACUCUGCCGUCCCGUUCCCUUCCCCGUUUCAGCCGGCGAGGCGGCCGGAGGACCCGCUCUGUGCGGCCGCGGGGCCCGCGGAGUCGAGGGCUCUGUCGGCGCGCCCCGGGGGUUUCUCUGGAGAGACUCCUCGUCUCGGUCGCGUCGCGGCGGGGACGGACGAGGACCUCUGGCGAGGGGUCUUUCUGCGCUGGGAGCCGGGACCGGGCACGCGCUCGCGGGGCGUCCGUAAGUCGCGGUACGGAAUUUAGGCAGGAUAGCGCGCACGGGCUUGCGAGCGCCUUACAGGCGUGCGGUGGUUGCUCGUGCGGCCAGCUUUUGGUGUCGGUUGUUCCGGCGCUCCGUCGCGGUGUAGAGCCGGCCCCGUACGUAGCGGUGAGGCGUACCGCAGUUCGGUUUGAUUCUCGGAUAGGCCUCGGCUCUGACUGUGCACUCGAACGCCAAAACCUACAGCGGAAGCUGCGGUGGCUUUAGCGUGCAAGGGGCGCGAGCGCCGUGAAGCCGCCCGUGUGGCCGAGCGUCCCGAUCGCGGCGCUGAGCGUUAGACGGACUUGAGCCGCGUGCCGGAAUUGUUUUGUUUUGGAGAGGGCGGGAUAAACUUGGAGCACAACUUGUGAGGGCGGUACGUCGUGGGCAGGUUUUAGUAUUGCCUGUGGAGUGCCGCUAGAAGCGUUCGUAGUUCUUGCUUGUCUCUGUUACAAGAUGAGCCGUGUCGUCCUGCGUGACGCGUAACGGGAGGACGGCGCGGUAGCGGUGCUCUGCACAAGAGCCCGUUGGGGGGUAUUUUAGCUCGCGGGAAAGGGAUUGGGGAACCACCUGGUGGGAAUGCGAGGAGAGCAGCCCUGGCGGAAUCUGAGGAGCCGAGGCCGUUGUAUAAAUUGGACAAGGAAGGAAAGGCUGCGGGCACAGCGCGGUGCUGUACCCGGCCGCCCCAACGCGGAACUCUAAUGUGGAAUUCCUGUGUUUCAGAGGGGGAGCUGUGACCGCCCCGUGCUCAGCAGACCCCCCAGCCCGGGUGGGGGGAGCAGCGCCGGAGCGGGAGACGCGGCUCCGUCCUCCGUCCCCAGCGUGCCGGGGGGCGGCUGCCGGCCUGUGGGACGUGGCUGCGGCUGUUCGGGGCGCUGCCCCCCCAUUUUUGGGCGCUCUGGUAUGUACAUAGGUAAAUGGCGUUUUAAAGUAAUGUGCUGCCCGCUGGGGCUGUUUUCCUUUUCUACCUUUUUUUUUUUGAGUGAAUAAAUGGGGGGACUCGGGGGGUGACGAUGACGUUGCUGGAGGAGCAGGCCAGUGAGAGAUGGGGGCUUUCAGCCCCAAAACGCCUGAACAGUCAUGGGUGGGGUGUUUAGUGGUGCUGUGGGGAGGAGAAAUUUCUCCCUGUCCGUUGCAGAGAAAACAGAACAAUCCCACAUCAAAGCUGUCCUAGAGAAGUACUUGCUGUUUGUCAUUCCGGUUCUAGAGCAGCCCGAUGUGCUGUUAAAGGUUGUGGUGGUGCGGGUCAGGGAUCCCCAGGCUGUGCCGAGACCGCAGGACGGCUGCUGGUGGAACAAAGUCAAGGACAACUUCUCAGAUGGAUCCGUCCGGCAGUCGGUGGCCCACGGUUGCUCGGCAACAGCAGAAGCGGAUUGAAGGGACCGGCCGCUGGAGGAUGCCGAAGCCUCCCGGGUCAGCGAUGGGAGCAGCUUUGCGUAAAGCGAGGGGUACGUGAAGCCGGGCGUGCGGUGCCGACCGCCCAGCAGGUAAGGGAAGCUAAAGCUUUACCUCCAGGGACUUCUGCCCAGAAAGCUGAAGCAAUUGCUCUCGCGUGAGCUGUAGAGUUACGCAAAGAGAAGAAGAUUAGUAGCUGCACUGAUUCUAAGCAGGUUUCUUGAAGGGUGCGGGCCCUUGAAGCCGUUUGAAAAGAAUAAAGUGUAUUAACGGCACAAGGGAGGCAGAUUAAACGUGAUGCUCCGGUUGCUGGAAGCUGUGCUGUUGCUAGGAGAGUUGCCGUCACGCGUUGCAACGGGCCUCAGAAGGGAAACGCUGCUCAGGAAACUGGCCAUAAAUUGGCAGGCGCCGCUGUCAAACCAGCCGCCGAGAGGACAGAGACCGGUACGGAAGCCGCGUCUCUGAGCCCAGGUGGCCGUGUCCUCCAGCCAACGUCAGGGAACUGUAACAAAGAGGAUAAGCAAUUAAUAGGAGAUUUAUAGCCCGAUCAGAAUUAGGGUCCAAAGGAGCCGUCACCGGCGACGGGAGAGCAGCGGCGCCUCGCGGCGCAAGGAGCUGACGUGCUCUGUCGAGAUCGGACGAACAGGUAAGAGCGAAUUUAGAAGCCCUGUGCGAGCGAGGCAAUGGGAAACGUGCCUAGAAAACCGUCUUGAUAGUGCACACGGGGUACAGACAAGAGCAGCCGGACGAGGGAAACGUACCAGGACGACGCUGGCAAAGGGAGUUCUCCGAGCUGCCUGGAAAAGGGGGGUGUCGAUACCGGCCGGCACGAACGGCUCCCUUCUCGGGUCGGCCGGAAGCGUUGCCGUGCCGGGGGGCGGCUGCCGGCCUGCGGGCCGGGGCUGCGGCUGUUUGGGGCGCUGCCCCCGCUUUGUUUUCCUCGGGGAGCCCCCCCACGUUCGGGGGCUUGUGGGACGUGCACGUGCGAAUGACACGGUGUUCCCAGCUGCUCUGUUCUCUGCCUUGUUUUUUCAGGUGCCUGUCCCUGUUUUCUCUUCCCGCUUUUGAAGAGAAGCUGCCGAGUCAGCGUACGCUGCGGUGAAGUUCUACAAGAUGCAGCCCUCAGGAACCGGUUGACGUGAGGGAAAUGCUUUCUGACCGCCUGCGCGGUGAGGGGACGUUUUUCACCUUUUAGCUCCUUCUGCACGACAAGAGGGAGACGGAAGGUUAAGUAACACGUUGUUUAGGAGCUGAGAGCUUGGUUUGCAUUUAACUAAUAAUUAAGAGACGUGUUGUCAGCGAGAAACUAAACGAUUACAACUAACCUCAUCAAAUGAAGUAAAGACAGGCCAGCCAGGCGUGGUGGUGGAGUUGCUCUCUAUGUGAGAGAGCAGCUACAGUGUACUAAAUUCUGCCCAGGAGCGGAUGAGGAGCGAGUUGAGAGUGUAUGGGUCAGGAUCAAGGGGCAGGCUGGCAGGGGUGACACUGCUGUGGGCGUCUGUUGCAGGCCACCAGAUCAGGCUGAGGAAGCUGAUGAGGCCUUCUAUGGGCAGCUGAGAGCGGCCUCACGGUCACAGGCCCUGGUUGUUGUGGGGGAUUUUAAGUUCCCUGGUGUUUGCUGGAAGGACCGUUCAGCCAGCCAGCCACAGUCCAGGAGGUUCCUGCCGUGCAUCGGUGAGAACCGCCUCAUGCAGGUGGUGGAGGAGCCGACUGGGAGAGGUGCACUGCUGGAUCUCAUCCUCGCUAGCAAGGAGGGUCUGGUCGAAGCAGGAAAGGUUGAGGGCUGCCUGGGCUGCAGUGACCACGAGAAGGUGGAGUUCAGCAUCUUGGGUGGCAGGAACAGAACAGCAAGUAGAAUUGCAGCCCUGGACUUUAGCAGGGCUAACUUUGGCCUUUUCAAGCAAUUGCUGGGGGAAAUCCCACGGGCAAGACUGCUUGAAGGAAAAGGGGCCCGAGAUAGCUGGGUUGCAUUCAGAGAUUGCUUCUUCCACGCUCAGGAUCAGAGCAUCCCCACACGAAGGGAGUCAAGGAAGGGAGCCAGGAGGCCUGCGUGGUUGAACAGGGACCUGUUGGGUAUGCUCAAGCAGAAGAGGAGAGUUUGCAGGUCAUGGAGGCAGGGGCUGGCCACUUGGGAGGAAUAUAGGGCUGCUGUUAGAGGAUGCAGGAAGGCAGCUAGGAUAGCCAAGGCCCCCUAGAAUUACAGCUGGCGAGAGGGGUCAAGGACAGCAAAAAGAGCUUUUUCAAAUACAUAGCAGAUAAAACUAACACCAGAGGCAAUGUAGGCCCACUGAUGAACGGGGUGGGUGCCCUGGUGGCAGAAGAUACAGAGGAGGCAGAAUUCCUGAAUGCCUUCUUUGUCUCUGUCUACUCUGCCGGAGGCCGUCCUGGGGAGCCCUGUACCCCUGAGACCCCGGAUGAAGCCAGGUCAGUGGAGGAGUUUGCUUUAGUCGAUGAGGACUGGGUUAGGGAGCAAUUAAAUAGUCUGGACAUCCAUAAAUCCACGGGUCCGGAUGGGAUGCACCCGCGGGUGCUGAGGGAGCCGGCUGAAGUCACUGCUGGACCGCUCUCUGUCAUCUUUGCCAAGUCUUGGGAAACGGGGGAGGUGCCCGAGGACUGGAGGAAAGCAAAUGUCACUGCAGUCUUCAAAAAGGGCAAGAAGGAGGACCCGGGUAAUUACAGACCGGUCAGCCUCAGCUCUGUCCCUGGGAAAGUAAUGGAACAGCUUCGUCUGGACAACAGAGCAGUGAGGUGGGUUGCAAACUGGCUUAAGGAGAGAAGCCAGAGAGCGGUAGUCAAUGGUGCGGAGUCCAGCUGGAGGCCAGUAUCCAGUGCAGUGCCUCAGGGGUCAGCGCUGGGGCCAAUAUUAUUCAAUAUAUUCAUUAACGAUUUGGACGAGGGAAUAGAGUGCACUAUCGGCAAGUUUGCUGAUGACACCAAGCUGGGAGGGGUGGCUGACACGCCAGAAGGCUGUGCUGCCAUCCAGCGGGACCUGGACAGGCUGGAGAGUUGGGCGGGGAAUAACCUGAUGAAAUUUGACAAGGGCAAGUGUAGAGUCCUGCACCUGGGCAGGAACAACCCCAGGUUCCAGUAUAGGUUGGGAAAUUACAUAUUAGAGAGCAGUGUAGGGGAAAGGGACCUGGGGGUCCUGGUGGACAACAGGAUGACCAUGAGCCAGCCCUGUGCCCUUGUGGCCAGGAAGGCCAAUGGCAUCCUGGGGUGUAUUAGAAGGGGGGUGGUUAGUAGGUGGAGAGAGGUCCUCCUUCCCCUCUGCUCCGCCCUGGUGAGACCGCAUCUGGAAUAUUGUGUCCAGUUGUGGGCCCCUCAGUUCCAGAAGGACAGGGAACUGCUGGAGAGGGUCCAGCGUAGGGCAACCAAGAUGAUUAAGGGAGUGGAGCAUCUCCCGUGUGAGGAAAGGCUGAGGGAGCUGGGGCUCUUUAGUUUGGAGAAGAGGAGACUAAGGGGGGACCUUAUCAAUGUUUAUAAAUACAUAAAGGGUGAGUGCCAUGAGGAUGGAGCCAGGCUCUUCUCGGUGGCAAACAACGAUAGGACAAGGGGUAAUGGGAUCAAGCUGGAACACAAGAGGUUCCGCUUAAAUUUGAGAAGAAACUUCUUCUCAGUGAGGGUGGCAGAGCCUGGCCCAGGCUGCCCAGGGAGGUUGCGGAGCCUCCUUCUCUGCAGACAUUCAAAACCCGCCUGGACGUGCUCCUGUGCGACCUCACCUGGGCGUUCCUGCUCCAUGGGGGGAUUGGACUGGAUGAUCUUUUGAGGUCCCUUCCCGUCCCAAACAUACUGUGAUACUGUGAAGAAUGCGGCUUAGCAGCGCUGCUGACUCUGCCGUCCCGUUCCCUUCCCCGUUUCAGCCGGCGAGGCGGCCGGAGGACCCGCUCUGUGCGGCCGCGGGGCCCGCGGAGUCGAGGGCUCUGUCGGCGCGCCCCGGGGGUUUCUCUGGAGAGACUCCUCGUCUCGGUCGCGUCGCGGCGGGGACGGACGAGGACCUCUGGCGAGGGGUCUUUCUGCGCUGGGAGCCGGGACCGGGCACGCGCUCGCGGGGCGUCCGUAAGUCGCGGUACGGAAUUUAGGCAGGAUAGCGCGCACGGGCUUGCGAGCGCCUUACAGGCGUGCGGUGGUUGCUCGUGCGGCCAGCUUUUGGUGUCGGUUGUUCCGGCGCUCCGUCGCGGUGUAGAGCCGGCCCCGUACGUAGCGGUGAGGCGUACCGCAGUUCGGUUUGAUUCUCGGAUAGGCCUCGGCUCUGACUGUGCACUCGAACGCCAAAACCUACAGCGGAAGCUGCGGUGGCUUUAGCGUGCAAGGGGCGCGAGCGCCGUGAAGCCGCCCGUGUGGCCGAGCGUCCCGAUCGCGGCGCUGAGCGUUAGACGGACUUGAGCCGCGUGCCGGAAUUGUUUUGUUUUGGAGAGGGCGGGAUAAACCUGGAGCACAACUUGUGAGGGCGGUACGUCGUGGGCAGGUUUUAGUAUUGCCUGUGGAGUGCCGCUAGAAGCGUUCGUAGUUCUUGCUUGUCUCUGUUACAAGGUGAGCCGUGUCGUCCUGCGUGACGCGUAACGGGAGGACGGCGCGGUAGCGGUGCUCUGCACAAGAGCCCGUUGGGGGGUAUUUUAGCUGGCGGGAAAGAGAUUGGGGAACCACCUGGUGGUAAUGCGAGGAGAGCAGCCCUGGCGGAAUCUGAGGAGCCGAGGCCGUUGUAUAAAUUGGACAAGGAAGGAAAGGCUGCGGGCACAGCGCGGUGCUGCACCCGGCCGCCCCAACGCGGAACUCUAAUGUGGAAUUCCUGUGUUUCAGAGGGGGAGCUGUGACCGCCCCGUGCUCAGCAGACCCCCCAGCCCGGGUGGGGGGAGCAGCGCCGGAGCGGGAGACGCGGCUCCGUCCUCCGUCCCCAGCGUGCCGGGGGGCGGCUGCCGGCCUGUGGGACGUGGCUGCGGCUGUUCGGGGCGCUGCCCCCCCAUUUUUGGGCGCUCUGGUAUGUACAUAGGUAAAUGGCGUUUUAAAGUAAUGUGCUGCCCGCUGGGGCUGUUUUCCUUUUCUACCUUUUUUUUUUUGAGUGAAUAAAUGGGGGGACUCGGGGGGUGACGAUGACGUUGCUGGAGGAGCAGGCCAGUGAGAGAUGGGGGCUUUCAGCCCCAAAACGCCUGAACAGUCAUGGGUGGGGUGUUUAGUGGUGCUGUGGGGAGGAGAAAUUUCUCCCUGUCCGUUGCAGAGAAAACAGAACAAUCCCACAUCAAAGCUGUCCUAGAGAAGUACUUGCUGUUUGUCAUUCCGGUUCUAGAGCAGCCCGAUGUGCUGUUAAAGGUUGUGGUGGUGCGGGUCAGGGAUCCCCAGGCUGUGCCGAGACCGCAGGACGGCUGCUGGUGGAACAAAGUCCGGGACAGCUUCUCAGAGUAAGAACCUCUCUAUUUGUUCUCCUCGGGACACAUCCCUUUGCCUCUGGACCCCUCACAAGCUCACUCGCCACCUUGUUCCCUCAGAAACCCGUUUCCUCCCAGUUCCUCUGCGAUUACCCUGCCUGCCUUUGGGUCCCUGCAGGCUCGUUGGUGGCAUCACGGUGCCUGUUUGACCUUUUGCCCCGUUAAAUUCCCCUCUUUUCUCUCUUCCCCUCAAAACUUCCCCGGUUGCUCUUGUCACACCCCAGAGGCCUCAUUUUCCCCUCUUGUCUCCUCUCAGGACCCCCCAUCUGUUGGCCCCUGUCGAGGGUUUAGAUUGCGGGGUGACAGUAAAACCCUGGCAGAUGUAUUGUUAACCCCGUCUCCCCCCCACUUCCCCCUUUUGCCCCUCCCUCUCCCCCCUUCCCACUCAGGACAGGCGAUCCGGAGGGAAAGAAGGACAGAGAGAAGAGAGUUGGAAAAACUGGCAAUGUUUUACUAAUGCUAUAUUAAGAGUAGAGAAAAUAAUACAAAACCAAUCCUGAAAGUCUCAGCAACUGCAGAGCCGGCACCUGAAGUCCUGGACUGGACUCUGCAGCCAACCGGAGCUGGAUUCAGUCUCUCAGCAGGCCUCAGUUUGCAGGGACGACUAGCAAGGUCCUCUCCUAAUGUCACCAUAAGCAGAAGGGACGAAAAGGGGCAAAGAGGACAAGAUCCUCAUGAUCUGCCACUUGUAUAUGAAGUAUUCAUGUGAAGGGGAUGUUAUACACAGUUGGUCAGUUUGUUGGUCACCUGUUUCUUGUUGCUCCUCUUGCAAGAUGUGAAUCUGUCCUUAUCAACAAGUAAGCAUUCCAUUGCAGUGUUUAUCAAAACAUGUAUGUGUCUGGUUCUCCAGGAAAAGGCAGCUAAUAUGAAGCUUCAGCUGACAGGCAAAUUCAUGCUGUCUGCCUAUCAGAUUGCCGGAGGGGCGGGCGUCGAGGGCUGGGUACUGCGUGCCGCCCGCAGCCAAUGAUGGUGCGGAAGAGGCGGGCGUUGCGGUGUCCCUACUGCGCAUGCCCCAGUCGCGAGCGCUGAUAGGCGGAGAGGGAGAUGAUUGACGUGUCCCGGGGAGCGAACCGGGAUGCGGCAAGGGGCGGGUGCUGCAGUCUCCCUAGUGCGCAUGCCCAAACCGCGAGCGCUGAUAGGUCCGCGGUGUCUCGGGGCCGGGGCCGGGGGGGGAGACCGGGAGCGAACGGGAACGGGGGUCGGGGCGGCUGCGGAGCCCUCGCUGCGGCCGGCGCCCGGGCAUCGGGAGGCGGGCGGCUCAGGGCCGCCCUUCGUGAGGUUUCCCGGAGGCGGCAGAAGGGCGGAGGGGAAGGAGGGGACAGCCGGGGACCUCCCGCUGCGCGCGUGUCCGGGGCGCGGCGGCUGUCGGUGCCCGCGGAGCCCGGCGGGACGGCGGGGGAGCGCGAGGGGAACGGAGCGGCGAAAGAGGCGGCAGUGGAUCCGUCCGGCAGUCGGUGGCCCACGGUUGCUCGGCAACAGCAGAAGCGGAUUGAAGGGACCGGCCGCUGGAGGAUGCCGAAGCCUCCCGGGUCAGCGAUGGGAGCAGCUUUGCGUAAAGCGAGGGGUACGUGAAGCCGGGCGUGCGGUGCCGACCGCCCAGCAGGUAAGGGAAGCUAAAGCUUUACCUCCAGGGACUUCUGCCCAGAAAGCUGAAGCAAUUGCUCUCGCGUGAGCUGUAGAGUUACGCAAAGAGAAGAAGAUUAGUAGCUGCACUGAUUCUAAGCAGGUUUCUUGAAGGGUGCGGGCCCUUGAAGCCGUUUGAAAAGAAUAAAGUGUAUUAACGGCACAAGGGAGGCAGAUUAAACGUGAUGCUCCGGUUGCUGGAAGCUGUGCUGUUGCUAGGAGAGUUGCCGUCACGCGUUGCAACGGGCCUCAGAAGGGAAACGCUGCUCAGGAAACUGGCCAUAAAUUGGCAGGCGCCGCUGUCAAACCAGCCACCGAGAGGACCGAGACCGGUACGGAAGCCGCGUCUCUGAGCCCAGGUGGCCGUGUCCUCCAGCCAACGUCAGGGAACUGUAACAAAGAGGAUAAGCAAUUAAUAGGAGAUUUAUAGCCCGAUCAGAAUUAGGGUCCAAAGGAGCCGUCACCGGCGACGGGAGAGCAGCGGCGCCUCGCGGCGCGAGGAGCUGAUGCGCUCUGUCGAGAUCGGACGAACAGGUAAGAGCGAAUUUAGAAGCUCUGUGCGAACGAGGCAGUGGGAAACGUGCCUAGAAAACCGUCUUGAUAGUGCACACGGGGUACAGACAAGAGCAGCCGGACGAGGGAAACGUACCAGGACGACGCUGGCAAAGGGAGUUCUCCGAGCUGCCUGGAAAAGGGGGGUGUCGAUACCGGCCGGCACGAACGGCUCCCUUCUCGGGUCGGCCGGAAGCGUUGCCGUGCCGGGGGGCGGCUGCCGGCCUGCGGGCCGGGGCUGCGGCUGUUUGGGGCGCUGCCCCCGCUUUGUUUUCCUCGGGGAGCCCCCCCACGUUCGGGGGCUUGUGGGACGUGCACGUGCGAAUGACACGGUGUUCCCAGCUGCUCUGUUCUCUGCCUUGUUUUUUCAGGUGCCUGUCCCUGUUUUCUCUUCCCGCUUUUGAAGAGAAGCUGCCGAGUCAGCGUACGCUGCGGUGAAGUUCUACAAGAUGCGGCCCUCAGGAACCGGUUGACGUGAGGGAAAUGCUUUCUGACCGCCUGCGCGGUGAGGGGACGUUUUUCACCUUUUAGCUCCUUCUGCACGACAAGAGGGAGACGGAAGAGGGGGAGCUGUGACCGCCCCGUGCUCAGCAGACCCCCCAGCCCGGGUGUGGGGAGCAGCGCCGGAGCGGGAGACGCGGCUCCGUCCUCCGUCCCCAGCGUGCCGGGGGGCGGCUGCCGGUCUGUGGGACGUGGCUGCGGCUGUUCGGGGCGCUGCCCCCCCAUGUUUGGGCGCUCUGAGCAGCCCGAUGUGCUGUUAAAGGUUGUGGUGGUGCGGGUCAGGGAUCCCCAGGCUGUGCCGAGACCGCAGGACGGCUGCUGGUGGAACAAAGUCAAGGACAGCUUCUCAGAGACUUACUUAUUACUGUUGUGAGAGUCCGAGAGAAAAGGAGGAGUGUCUGUGACUUACAACUGUCGUUGUUGAUCUACAGUGUUUUAGAGACGGAUUCUUGCAGGAUCUAUUUCUGGUUCGUCCUUCACUCCUCCCCAGACCGCAGCGCUGGUCCGAGUUCCCCAGCACACGUGUGUGUGUCCAGCCGGGUACGCUGGGGGAGCGCGUCAGGGCGGGCAGACGGCUGAAUGGACGCGCUGUCAGCGACUGCGGAACGAGCUGGGGCUGCUUUGACCGUGUCCAGCCUUGUGCGUGUGGUUUGUUUUCACUUGCAGGCUGAAACAGCAGUUUCCUUAAUUAAAAACACCCCAACAUGUCCCCCGGCCCCCAACAAAAAUAACGCCAAAAAUGCCACUGAAAGAAACACAGGGAGUUUUUAAAAAAUUUCCUUUAGCUUUCUCCCCCCUCCACCCCUACCCUGCUGCGUUCAGUGCAGUGAAUGACCGUGAGGAGAUGGCUGUGGAUCUGGCUGUUGAAGGGUGUGUGAAGGAGAAGGAGGUGUGUGUAGAGCAGGAUUGGUGGUGGAGGUGAGUGCAGCUGGUUCGGGUGUGGGGCUGUAAAUUCUUUUUGGAGGCUUCCUAGUUUCUGGUGUCACCUGCGGGGUGAAGUGUGACUCUGUGCAGGUUUGAAAGGUGCCACGUGCAGAGCUCCCUCAUUUGCCACCAGAUCUCCCAAUCACAGAGACAGCGUCGCUGUGCAGCUGCUAAGGACAGCGCGUCUCGUGCAGAAGAGCAUCCUUUGUGCUCCGUGUGCGUGUUCCUCCUUUGAAAUGAAGUUGGGCCGCCCGGUGUUCCACGUUACGUGUGGUACCUGCUGGGCUGAGUCUCCUCCCCGCGCUCCGGUCGGUUCCGUCGCGCUGCCGCAGCCCCGGCAGCACCGCGGCGUUCGCUGGACGCGUUGUUGGCGGAGCCGGCACCGACAAUCUUGACACGUCGAGGCGCUGCGGUGGGUUUGCCUGGGAAUUCCAAGGUAAUUCCAAGGCAGACAGUAAUAAUCCCCAAUUUAUGUAGUAAAAUUUAAAAGAGUGGAAUAUUAAUGCUGGAGCACUAAUUGGAAGUAAUACCUGUAGAGAAAAAAACCUCUAGUUUAUAUCUACAAUAAAAAAUAAUGUGUGCUAGUAAAUCCGCCUGGUAGUAAUGUAAUGAUAAAAAUGUUAAAGUGUAAAUAGAUGAAAUUAUAUAGGCAUGAGCAAGAAGUAAAUUUAAUUUCAGCUAUUACUUGGUGAACCAGGCAGCAGUUGUUCCCAAUCUGAAUGCUAGUUUAAAAAACACAUUGUUUGGAAUUCCUUUUAAAUGAUAAAGGCAGAAAACUAAUGUGGAGUCAUUGGUAGCUUCAUUUGAACAACCGUUAUGAAAUAAACCGCAGACACGAAUGACUGCAUAGGAAACAAAGUGAGGAAGCUUUAGAUUUUAAACAGCAUUGGAAAGUGAUCGGGAGUGUUUAGUAUUUAAAUUAUAACAGAGCCACGAGAUGGGAGGCAACAAAGCUCAGAACCAAACAGAGUCAAAACGUUACAUUUCUUUUUUAAAGAGAAGUAUAAAGGAACCACGAAGUAGUGGCUGUUUAUAAACAGAGGUAUUAAAAAGUUCCCAGGCAGUAAUGAUUCCCAACAGAACACUAAAAGAUAUUUAGAUGUAAAAUAAUAUUAGAAAACCGUUAUGACAGUCUGAAUUUAACCACAGCUUUUUUGGGGUUGUGCAAAAACAUGACCGCUAUUAAUUACCUCUGAGUUAAAAUAAAAAGACAUCAAACUAGAUGUGAUUAACAACAGCUAAUUUUAAUUUUUCAGUGUGCUAUCCAGUCCGGCUUCUCCCUCCAAGGGCGUGGUCUGAGAAAGCCACACCCCCAACUCCCCCCCGUCCAAGCUCCGCCCCUGCCAGUCUGUGCCCUCCCCGAGGCGCGUGUCCCUUACAGACCCCUCCCAGCAGCAUAAUGCAUCGAAGCCCCGCCCGCGGCUCCACCCCUAAACUCAGCCCCUGCUAAACCACGCCCCCUCAGAGCACGUGCUGUACUGAGCCCACCCUACUCUCGGCUCCACCCCUCCCUAAGCUACGCCCCCUUUGGGCGUGUCCUUCUCCGUACCCCAAGCGGCUCCUCCUAUGGGGGUGUGACACACGGAGGCCCCACCCCCUGCCCAGUUCCCCCAGGUGGGCCUCCCAAUGGGCGUGUCCUCCCAGUCCACGCCCCUCAGCACGGAUCCCACCCCCGUGGGUGGGGCUACACCCAGCUGCGCGCGCGGCCCCCCCACCCAUGCGUGACCCUAAGUAACCCCAUGGCAGCCCUAUGGCUGCCCCACAGGUACCGCUACAGCAGCCCUGCUCCUGCCCCGCAAGAGCUCCAGACACGCCUCUGCAGAGCCCCCACAGCAGCCACUUCAGUGCCCCACAGCUAUCACCGCAGCCGCCCCAUCCCGCCCCACGGCCGCCGCUGCGGGACCCCUGGAGCCCCCGGCCCCACACCCGCCCCGCAGCCCCACAGCGCGCGGUCUCGCGGCCGCGGUGCCGGUGAAGCCACGUGCUGGCCGCGGCCGGAGGAGCCGCCGGUUUUCCCCCCCCCACACCCCGAUCGCUGCUGCCGCGGCCGGAGGAGCCGCCGGUUUCCCCCCCCACAUCCCCCGAUCGCUGCUGCCGCGGCCGGAGGAGCCGCUGGUUUCCCCCCCUCACACCCCCCGAUCGCUGCUGCUGCCGCGGCCGGAGGAGCCACCGGUUUUGCCCCAACAUCCCCCGAUCGCUGCUGCUGCCGCGGCCGGAGGAGCCGCCGGUUUCCCCCCCACAUCCCCCGAUCGCUGCUGCUGCCGCGGCCGGAGGAGCCGCCGGUUUCCCCCCCACACACCCCCCCGAUCGCUGCUGCUGCCGCGGCCGGAGGAGCCGCCGGUUUUCCGCCCAGCCCCGACUCUCCUCCUUCCUCCUCAAUCGCCGCUGCAUGCCGCCACGAUGUCUUCUCUUCCGCCAUCUUGUUUCCCCCUUCUGCGCUCAUUCGCUAUUUUAUACCGAGGGAGGGAGGAGGCGCUCGCUGAUUGGCUGACAGUGUCAGCCUCGGAAGUCGUCCAUUGGCUCAUCCCCACGAGGGGUUCUCCGAGGGGGUGGGAGAAAGGCGCUGAUUGGUCACCGUGUCGCUGAGGGGAGGAAGGCACUGAUUGGUCACUUUCCGCCGAAGUUCGCCCUCCCAGUAACAGGCGCUGAUUCGCUAGCGCCCCUGAGGUAGAAAAGGCGCUGAUUGGUCGGCGUUUUCUCGCCGACGUUAGCCCACAGCAACGAAGCGCUGAUUGGGCAGCGCGGCUGACGAGGCGGCUCGGCCAUUGGCAGGAGGGCGGGCGGGGGGCGGGACCGGGCGGGACAACGAGGUAAUAAAUGGGGCGGCGCAGAACGCGCGCAGGACCAGAAAGGCGGAGGCGGCAGCGCCAGCGCGAGCUCAUCGGCCCCCCCCCCCCCCCCCCGCCCCCCCGCGGCGGGAAACCCGAGAACGGCAGGAACGGCGGCCGGAAUCAGUUAACGGGGCGGGUCAGGGCGGUAAUUAUCGUGCGGGUGUUAAUUGGGGCUCGGCGGGUUAAUGAGUGACCGGCGGGCUGGGGUGUAUGUGGGGGUUUUGAUCGGAACUGGGGUUUUAAAGCCGCGGGUUUGUGGGGGGGGGGGGGGGGGGGGGGGGGCGGGGGCGAUUAAGGCUCCCGGAGCCGCUUUAGCGGCUUAAAUCGUUGUGUUGAACGCGGGAGGAGCCGGUUCGGGGCUUUUCUCAGCAAUCGGGGCUGGUUUGGGUCCAAUUCGGCUUUUAAAAGAUGUUUUUACGUAAUUUUUGGGUGCCGAUUUGUGCCAGAAGGCGCCUUUGAAAUCUGUUUAUUGAGGGUUUAUCAGGAGAAUUAAAGCUUAAAGCUCGGGGAGAUUUGGGGCUUUUCCCCGGAUUUUGAGUCCAAAUCGGUUUUUUUAGAGCCCUUAUUUAUUUAAAUUGUUAUGUUUAAAGGGUUUAUUUGAGGUUUUAUUUGGAACAUUUUGGGCGGGUUUGAGGCUCCUAAGAUUUAAUUGUUGGUUUAUUAUUUGAUUUAUUAUUUCACUGCGGUUCGGGGCUCCUGAAGACGCUGAGUUGUUUCAAUUAUUUAGCGCUGUGAGGAGCCGUUUUGGGGCCGUUGGGGUCUAAAUCGGCUUUUUAAAAGGUUUAUUUAACGCGUUUAAAGUUUGAGGGGCCGAUUUGCGACUUUAAAGCUUUUUGAAUCUACUUAUUGAUAAGAAUUUAUACAAUAGAUUAAUAUUCAAAGCCCGGGGGGAGAUUUGGGGCUGUUUCCCAGGAUUGCGAGUCCAAAUGCGUUUUUUUCUGUUAACCGCUUAUUAAUUUAAAUUAUUAUAUUUAAACGGGGCUUUUUGAGGUUUUAUGAGGGUUUUUUUGAGCAUUUUGGGCGGUUCUGAGGCUCCUAAAGCCGCUUAAUUGUUUAAAUUAUUAAUUGUUAAAAUAAUGUAAGUAGUUGUUGAAAUAAGUGUGUAAGUUAUUGUAUUUAAAGCCGGGAGGGGCAUUUCGUUGCUUUUUGGGGGGUUUUAGGGCUGAAUUCACUUCAUUGAACGUGUCUAGAGCUGGGGGUCCCAGAUCUGGUGCUGAUUUGGCCCCAAAAAAAGCUUUAAAAAUCUAUUUAUUUAUAUAAUUUACUGAAUUAAUAUUUAAGCGGGAACAUGUUCGGCUUUUUUAACCCGCCGCCAUUUUGUCUCCCCCGUCCCGCUCUCCCUCACGCUGAGGGGGCCGAGGAGACGCUCGCUGAUUGGCCGGUGCCGUCUGGCGGGAAAGCCUCCCCCGGCUCAGCCCCGCUCGGCUGUCUCCGAGGGAGAGAAAGGCGCUGAUUGGUCGCUGCCUCUGAGGAGAGAAAGGCGCUGAUUGGUCGCCGCCUCCCUAAACCCACCUCCUGCGCAGAGAACAGCGAAGGCAGCCUGGCCACGCCCCCUCCGGCUGACCGCGCCCCCCCCUCCGGCUGACCGCGCGUGCCCCCCCCGCAACUCGGCUGACCGCGUGCCCCCCCCAACUCCGGCUGACUGUGCCCCCCCGCCCCCCCCGGCUGACCGCGUGCCCCCCCCACUGCACUCCUGCUGACUGUGCGCCCCCCCCACCUCCUCCGGCUGGCCACAUCUCCACUGCACACCAUGGCGGGGAUGGGGCGGGGGGGGAUCACAAGGGUCUAUGGGGCGGUGUGGGGGUCAGGGCGGCUGUGGGGUCAAUGGGGUUGUUGUGGGGUGAAACACCCCUGAAGAGGCUGAACCCCCUACAGGUGAGUGACCCACACAGUGCCCCACAGUGCCCCAUAGCACCUCCAUUCUGCCCUACGGAUCCACAACACUGCCCCACAGCACCCUAUAGCUCCUGCUUGCUAUCCCACAGCACCCCAUGGCUUCUCCACUCUGCCCCAUAUGUCUACAGCAGUGCCACAGAGUACCUCAUAUGUCUUCCACUCUGCCCCAUGGGUGCAGAGUGCUGCCCUACAGCACCCUAUAGCUCCUGUACUCUGCCCCACAGAUCCACAGUGCUGUCCCACAGCACCCUAUAGCUCAUUUGGCCUAUAGACCCACUGUACUGCCCUACAAUGCCCCAUGGCUCCUACACUCUGCCCCAUAGACCCACAACACUGCCUCACAACACCCCAUUGCUCCUGCACUCUGCCCCAUGGAUGCCCAGUACUGCCCCACAGCACCAUAUAGGUCCUGUACUCUGCCCCAUAUAUCCACAGGAGUGCCCUGCAGCACCCCAUGGCUCCUGCACUCUGCCCCAUGGAUGCCCAGUACUGCCCAACAGCACCAUAUAGGUCCUGUACUCUGCCCCAUACAUCCACAGGAGUGCCCCCCAGCACCCUAUGGCUCCUGCAUUCUGACCCAUGGAUGCCCAGUACUGCCCCACAGCACCAUAUAGGUCCUGUACUCUGCCCCAUACAUCCACAGGAGUGCCCCCCAGCACCCCAUGGCUCCUGCACUCUGCCCCAUGGAUGCCCAGUACUGCCCCACAGCACCGUAUAGCUCCUCUACUCUGCCCCAUACAUCCACAGGAGUGCCCCCCAGCACCCCAUAGUGACUCUACUCUUCCCCAUAGACCCACAGUGCUGCCGCACAGGACUCUACUCUGCCCCUUAGACCCAGAGAGCUGCCCCACAGCAGCCUGUAGGUGCUGUGUUCUGCCCCAUUGGUGCAAAGUGCUGCCCCACAGUGCCCCACACCUCUGUCCACCUGACCACCCUUCCCUCCUGACUGCGCCUGCACUGCCCACUAUGGGUGGGUCACAAGGGUCUAUGGGGCGGUGUGGGGGUCAGGGGGGCUGUGGGGUCAAUGGGGUUGUUGUGGGGUGAAACACCCCUGAAGAGGCUGAACCCCCUACAGGUGAGUGACCCACACAGUGCCCCACAGUGCCCCAUAGCACCUCCAUUCUGCCCUACGGAUCCACAACACUGCCCCACAGCACCCUAUAGCUCCUGCUUGCUAUCCCACAGCACCCCAUGGCUUCUCCACUCUGCCCCAUAUGUCUACAGCAGUGCCACAGAGUACCUCAUAUGUCUUCCACUCUGCCCCAUGGGUGCAGAGUGCUGCCCUACAGCACCCUAUAGCUCCUGUACUCUGCCCCACAGAUCCACAGUGCUGUCCCAUAGCACCCUAUAGCUCAUCUGGCCUAUAGACCCACUGUACUGUCCUACAAUGCCCCAUGGCUCCUACACUCUGCCCCAUAGACCCACAACACUGCCUCACAACACCCCAUUGCUCCUGCACUCUGCCCCAUGGAUGCCCAGUACUGCCCCACAGCACCAUAUAGGUCCUGUACUCUGCCCCAUAUAUCCACAGGAGUGCCCUGCAGCACCCCAUGGCUCCUGCACUCUGCCCCAUGGAUGCCCAGUACUGCCCAACAGCACCAUAUAGGUCCUGUACUCUGCCCCAUACAUCCACAGGAGUGCCCCCCAGCACCCUAUGGCUCCUGCAUUCUGACCCAUGGAUGCCCAGUACUGCCCCACAGCACCAUAUAGGUCCUGUACUCUGCCCCAUACAUCCACAGGAGUGCCCCCCAGCACCCCAUGGCUCCUGCACUCUGCCCCAUGGAUGCCCAGUACUGCCCCACAGCACCGUAUAGCUCCUCUACUCUGCCCCAUACAUCCACAGGAGUGCCCCCCAGCACCCCAUAGUGACUCUACUCUUCCCCAUAGACCCACAGUGCUGCCGCACAGGACUCUACUCUGCCCCUUAGACCCAGAGAGCUGCCCCACAGCAGCCUGUAGGUGCUGUGUUCUGCCCCAUUGGUGCAAAGUGCUGCCCCACAGCGCCCCACACCUCUGUCCACCUGACCACCCUUCCCUCCUGACUGCGCCUGCACUGCCCACUAUGGGUGGGUCACAAGGGUCUAUGGGGUGGUGUGGGGGUCAGGGCGGCUGUGGGGUCAAUGGGGUUGUUGUGGUGUGAAACACCCCUGAAGAGGCUGAACCCCCUACAGGUGAGUGACCCACACAGAGACCCACAGCAGCCCAUAGCCCCUCUGCCCUAUAGAGUCACUGCACCCCAUAGCUGCUUUUACUCUGCCCCAUAAAUGGACAGCAGUGCUCCACAGCACCCUAAGUCUCCACUGUGCCCCAUAGACACACAGUGCUGUCCCACAGCACCCCAUAUCUUGUUCACUCUGCCCUAUAGACCCACAGUGUAACCCUACAGCACCCCAUAGUUCCUCUGCCCUAUAGAUCAACAGCACUGUCCCACAAAACACCAUAGCUUCUUCCCACUAGCCCAUAGGCCAGCAAUUCUGCCCUACAGCGCACUAGCUCCUGCACCCUAUCCCAUAGACCCACAGCAGUGCCCCACAGAUCCAGUCUGCCCUAUACAGCCACAGCACUGCUCUGCAGCACCAUAUACUUCCAGCACUCUGGCCCAUUGAUAUGUAGCACCCCACAGCUGCUGCAUUCCACCCAUAGAUCGAGAUUCCUGGGUCCCCUCACCCCACCAGCUGUCCUGGGUUGCGAUGCUGCACGGGGCCCUGUGCACAACAAAAUGAGGACAGCAUGGCUGCUGGGCGCCACCCUGCUUGGAAUCCAAGAUGGCUGGGGGGGAGGGCUGGCAGCCAUGCUGGCACUGCCGGAGGGGCUGUUGGUCUGCGCCGUGCUCAGGCGGCAGCUCCCGGCUGUAUCGGCUGCUCCUGUGGCCCUGCACCCUGCCCAUGGGAACAAGGUGGCUGCCCUGAUGGGCGUGGCCAUCUCGGCUGCUGUGUCCCUGCUGGUGGGUGGGGCCAUGACUGUCAUGGCUGCCAAGCCUGUGCUGGAAGGGUGGGGCUGAGGUGGGCGGUGCCUGCCUAGGGUGGCCAUUUUGGGGUGGGGCCCAAGGUGGGUGGUGGGGCCUGUGACUCUGUUUGCCCCUGACGGCCAUCUUGGAAAAGGGCAGCACUGUGCCGCUGCCAUCCUGACGUUGCUCCCCCAGGGCCAUGUUGGGGGAUUUUUAACCUGGUUUUGGGGCCAAUUCUCACCCAAUAAAAUUAAAUAAUGUAAAAAAA